AUAAGACCUUCAAGCAAAAAUUUAUUAGGUAAACAUUUUGUGGGAGGAAUUAACAGUUUUUCAAGAAGAAAAAAGGAACAGUUAAGUAUGAAUUGUUUACUUAUGUUUAUUAAAGCAAUCAUGGCAGACACUCAUUAUGGUAUUACAUUCCACUAGAUACAUUAAUGACAAAUACCUUUAUUUUUAAAUACCAAUACUUAACGAUUCAUCAGAAACUGCAUCUUUUUCAAUUCCUUAAAUUUAUGAAAAAGCUUCAACUUAAAAAAAAAAAAAAAACCUCUUUCCUAGAACUUGAUUUUAUUUAUUGGAAAGAAGGAGAACAAAAGCAGGGGGGAGUGACAGGAGAGGGAGAAGCAGACCCCUGCUGAGCAGGGAGCCCAAUACAGGGCUUGAACCCAGCACCCUGGGAUCAUGAUGUGAGCUAAAGGCACCCAGGUGCCCCAGUUGUUUUAUUUUUUCUUUUAAUUAUUUUAGGUGUAACAGAAGAAAAUUUUUCAUGAUCACAACUUCUUUAACAACAAAAUGAGAAAUCCUACCAGAAGACUAAGGAAAGCCUAAAGUAUCUUCAUCUUGGUGAAGCACUCAAAGUGGUAUCAAAUUUCUAUCACUCAUGAGAGGAGUGACUAAGACCAACCUAGAUGUGCAUUCCUCACCACCACCUACUAGCUCUAUCACCUUGGGCAAAUCACUGAACCUCUCUGGGUCUAAGUCUCUUCAUCUGUAAAAUGGUUUUAACAGUACCACGACCUCAGAGAGCUGCUGUGAGGAUUAAUGGAAUUAACACAUGUGAAGCUACCAGUUUACUGUUAUUACAAACCAUCUGAGUAUAAAAUCUAUUGGAUUCUGAAAUAAAACAAGUUGACUAUUCAGUGCAUGCCCCAAAAGGCUUUUAAACUCUACAUAUUUUGUAUGUACCAGGCAGCUGCCAAUAGGCAUUCUGGGGUUGCCGCCUUCAGAUAAUCACAGCAGUCAGAAACAGGAAUAUUUUUACAUAUAAAAUUAAUAUACUGCUUCUACUCUCAGAAACAUUUUUUACAAAACUUAAUCAUAUUCACCUAUUUUUAAUUCCAAAGUGUGGUGCUCAGACCAAUUCCCCAGCAAACAUUUAGGUGCCCCUGAUUUAUAUUCCUGUGUUUUGCAAUCAGGAUUUCUGAGGCUGCAACUAAGGAAUAUUUUUACAACUCUCCAAGAGAUUCCCAUACUCCCUAUACUGAGAAGCAAAGAUACAGAUUUUUCAGUAAUUCAUUAGCACCUUCUUGUUCCAUUUAAUGUACUAAGUACUGAAUCUCCUCAGGUAAUUCCUUUUCUUUCCCUACCCCAAUCUCCUCAUGCUCUCCUCUCCCUGCCUUUACAAACUUUAUGUGUGGGGCCCUUGCUGUGAGGUGAUGAAGAUGAGUAGAGGAAGCUUUUCCAAAUACUUCCAAUCCAAGCCUAUUAACUUUCAAUUUUCCACUGAUUAUGAAUUGCCAUUUUUAAAAGAAGUUUUAAGGUCACUAUUCCAAAUUCCCUUUCCUCAUGGGACCUUUCCUCAGGGGUUUAAGGGAACAGGAUUUUUUAAAGGCCACAUUUUUUUCACUCCUUCUGCACAAUUUGAAACAUAGAUUUAAAUGUUAUCUUUAAAAAACAAAAUGUUUCAGAGCACCAGGGUGGCUCAGUCGGUUAGAUGUUCAACUCUUGGUUUCUGCUCAGGUUCUAACCUCAUGAGUAAUGGGAUAGAGCCCUGGCGUCAGGCUCCAUGCUCAGCGGGAGUCUACUUGGAUAUUCUCUCCCUUUGCCCUUUUCCUGUGCCGUGCCUGUGUGCUCUUUCCAAAUAAAUAAAUCUUUUAAAAAUUUUAAAAAUAAAAAACAAAAUGUUUCAACAUGUCCUAGCCUGUUAUGAUAGAAUAGGCUGGAAAGCACACAAUUGUAAAACCUAGUCACAGAGACACUCCUUUUUUUCAUGUAAUACAACAAAUAACUUACUCAAGUUAAGAUGUGCUACUCUACGCUCCAAAAUAUAGUUGGCAGAGAUCAUGAAAAGGGCUCCUACUUUCAUGAAGCUUACAUUUAAAUGAAAGUUGUAGGACAAGUAAACAACUAAUCUGCUUAAAGAUAGCAGAUGUUCCACAAAGAAAUCUCUGAAAAAAUCAGGAAAGGUGAACACAACAGUUAAACUAAAGAACCUAAAAUUUACGUGCAAUUUAGACAGCACUAGAACUGAAAAGAAGCCCAAAACAGGAGAGAUCCUGGUUAAGUAUGAAUUUGACUUUCAAAUCUAUUUUUUUAAGACUUAUUUAUUUAUUCAUGAGAGAGAGAGAGAGAGGCAGAGACACAGGCAGAGGGAGAAGCAGGCUCCAUGAAGGGAGCCCAAUGGGGGACUCGAUCUCGGGUCUCCAGGAUCACACCCUGUGCCGAAAGCGGCGUUAAACCACUGAGCCACCUGGGCUGCCCCUAAUCUAGCUUCAAUACACAAGUCUUAAAAACCUGCUUACAAGAAUUUAAUAUUGCUAAUAUAGAAAUAUGUAACUUGACUACUUCUUGAACUCAUCACACAAAAACUUACAGAGGGCAACAAACCAACAAAAAAAUGAAGUAAUUCCAGUCAAAUCUAAGCCACCAAACACUAGUCUUUAAAAUCAGAGUAUUGAUCUUAAUCUAAAAAGUCUCAUGUGGUUUAGGUUCUGGUUACCUUAGAGAUUUUGACUCUAAGCACUCUGAUGGCAAGUAUGAUUAGUUUGAAUACUUGUCCUGUGGUUCACUAAUGAAAUCUGAUAAACUGGAAUCCUCAAAUUUUAUAUGGUUCUUUCAGAUCCUGGAUUUCCUGGCGCUGAGAGGUUUCCUGCAGCAGCCAGACUUCCAGUGGUAGGCUAGGGAAGGCCUGAGCAAAGCAGCCAGCUGAUUAUCCUAGCUUCAGACCACAUUUUAGAAAUUAAUGUUUAGACAAAAAACUUUUUCACAGGAGGACUCUCCUGCCACUCGCAGAUCUUUAAUAUGGAUAAACUACUAAAAAUAGGAAUCUAGGGGAUCCCUGGGUGGCUCAGCGGUUUAGCGCUGCCUUCAGCCCUGGGCAUGAUCCUGGAGUCCCAGGAUCGAGUCCCACAUUCAGACUCCCUGAAUGAAGCCUGCUUCUCCCUCUGCUUAUAUCUCUCUGCCUCUCUCUCUCGCUGUGUCUCUCAUAAAUAAAUAAAAUCUUUUAAUAAAUAAUAAAAAUGGGAAUCUUCCCCACCAGUGAUCAAUCACUUUCAUAAAGAAAAACAGGUGGGUAUCAUACACAGACACAGUUACCAGGGGAAGUAGUGUUUCCCUGUAAAUUUCGUCACUGAUUUCACUUUCAAACAUAAAAAUCCCAAGUCAAACACAAUUCUAUGAACAAAAAUUCAGAUGCAGAUUUCUAAGAAAGAUUUCUAAAUUAAAAUAAAUGUCUUAAAAAUCAGUUGUGACUACUGAGAUUUAUGUUACAAUUUGGAGUCCUUCACCCAAUUUGGCUGAGGAAAGAAGCCAAGGCUACAUAUUACACAACUCCAUUUAUAAAACAUGCUAAAAGAGACAAAAAUGAUGAUGGAGAACAAAUCAGUGGCUGUCGGGGAUAUCAAGUGGGAGGAGGUUAAGUAUACAAAAAGACAGCAUGGGCGAGUUUUUUGAAAGUGGUAGAAGUGAUAUGUAUUCUAACUGAUGGUAGUUACACAAAUAUUUAUCUAUGUUACUUCAUAGAACUAUACACCAAAAGAAAAAAAUUUCACUGUAUAAUUUUAAAAAUUUCUUUAAUCAGUG
rnacentral:lncRNA from 1 species